rnacentral:rRNA from 1 species
CCUACGGGUGACAGCAGUGAGGAAUAUUGGUCAAUGGGCGGAAGCCUGAACCAGCCAAGUAGCGUGCAGGAUGACGGCCCUACGGGUUGUAAACUGCUUUUAUACGGGAAUCAAGCGCCUUACGUGUAGGGCUUUGCAUGUACCGUAUGAAUAAGGAACGGCUAAUUCCGUGCCAGCAGACGCGGUACUACGGAAGGUCCGGGCGUUAUCCGGAUUUAUUGGGUUUAAAGGGAGCGUAGGCCGCAUGUCAAGCGUGCUGUUAAAUAUCCGGGGUCCACCCUGGCCUGGCAGCGCGAACGGGCGUGCUUGAGUCCGCGGAAAGCAGGCGGAAUUCGUCGUGUAGCGGUGAAAUGCUUAGAUAUGUCGAAGAACCCCGAUUGCGAAGGCAGCUUGCUGCAGCGGAACUGACGCUGAUGCUCGAAAGCGCGGGUAUCGAACAGGAUUAGAUACCCCUGUAGUC